rnacentral:rRNA from 1 species
GACGAACGCUGGCGGCGUGCUUAACACAUGCAAGUCGAACGGAAAGGCCCUGCUUUUGUGGGGUGCUCGAGUGGCGAACGGGUGAGUAACACGUGAGUAACCUGCCCUUGACUUUGGGAUAACUUCAGGAAACUGGGGCUAAUACCGGAUAGGAGCUCCUGCUGCAUGGUGGGGGUUGGAAAGUUUCGGCGGUUGGGGAUGGACUCGCGGCUUAUCAGCUUGUUGGUGGGGUAGUUGCUUACCAAGGCUUUGACGGGUAGCCGGCCUGAGAGGGUGACCGGGCACAUUGGGACUGAGAUACGGACCAGAAUGCUACGGGAGGCAGCAGUGGGGAAUAUUGCACAAUGGGCGGAAGCCUGAUGCAGCAACGCCGCGUGCGGGAUGACGGCCUUCGGGUUGUAAACCGCUUUCGAAUGUGACGAAGCGUGAGUGACGGUAAUGGGUAAAGAAGCACCGGCUAACUACGUG